UGCAAACACCAGUUCCCAUACUAUCACCGAAGUUAAGCCACAUCAAACUGGGUCAGUACCUAGAUGGGUGACCAUUUGAGAAUAUCAGUUGCU